rnacentral:rRNA from 1 species
UACGAGGGGGGCGAGCGUUGUUCGGAAUUAUUGGGCGUAAAGGGCGCGUAGGCGGUCGGAUAAGUCUUGUGUGAAGUCUCCGGGCUCAACUCGGAGUCUGCACGAGAAACUAUCUGGCUUGAGUGUGGGAGAGGUGAGUGGAAUUCCUGGUGUAGCGGUGAAAUGCGUAGAUAUCAGGAGGAACACCUGUGGCGAAAGCGGCUCACUGGACCACAACUGACGCUGAGGCGCGAAAGCUAGGGGAGCAAACAGG